UGAGUACUCCCUCUGUUCAAGAAAGCUUGUCUCUCAAAUGGAUGUAUCUAGCACCAAAGUUAGUGCUAGAUACAUCCAUUUGAGAGACAAGUUUUUUCGGACAGAGGGAGUACGAA
rfam:Triticum aestivum genome assembly, contig: Triticum_aestivum_CS42_TGACv1_scaffold_433611_5DL